rnacentral:tRNA from 2 species
GUAUCCAUAGCUCAAUGGGCGAGCAGCCGCCAUGUCUAGCGGAAAUGUGGGGCUAGCGGAAGAUGUGGGUUCGAUUCCUGCUGGAUACG